GCCGGACGCGGUGGCGCGCGCCUGUAGUCCCAGCUACUCGGGAGGCUGAGGUGGGAGGAUCGCUUGAGUCCAGGAGUUCUGGGCUGCAGUGCGCUAUGCCGAUCGGGUGUCCGCACUAAGUUCGGCAUCAAUAUGGUGACCUCCCGGGAGCGGGGGACCACCAGGUUGCCUAAGGAGGGGUGAACCGGCCCAGGUCGGAAACGGAGCAGGUCAAAACUCCCGUGCUGAUCAGUAGUGGGAUCGCGCCUGUGAAUAGCCACUGCACUCCAGCCUGGGCAAUAUAGUGAGACCCUGUCUCU
ensembl:misc_RNA Metazoa_SRP Metazoan signal recognition particle RNA